AGUAUGUAACAUGAGAGGCAGUAUGGUCCAAUGGAUGAGGCACUGGACUGAACCUCAUCAGACCAACCUUACGUUUCUACCUUUGCCACAGACUUGCUGUGUGACUUCGGGCAAGUCAUUUCCCUUCUAUGUACAUCUAUUUGCCCUCCCAGCCUUUGUCUGACUUGACUUGUGUAAGCUCUGUGAGGCAGGGACUAUUUCUUCCUAUGAGUUUGCACUGUACCUCACACAAUGGGACUCCAAACUCAGUUGGGUGUUGUAGUCAUUACCAUAAUAUGUAUAGUGAUCAUACACAUGUGAGUAGCCCCAUUGAUGUCAAUGGGACUAUCUGUGCUUAAAGUUUUGCAUGUGCUAAAGUAACUUCCUGAAUCAGAGCCUGCCUUUGCUAAUUUUGUGAGAAAUCAGGCCAUCACAAUCUCUCUGCUUUAGCAUUUUGUAAAAAGUCUCUAUUACUGGCAAAAGAGAUUACUGAAUAUUUCUGCUGCUCCUUUUCUCAGAUCUGCACUCUACUUUGCCACAUAACUAAACCCAAUUAUCUGAUUCAUUUAUUCUAAUAUCUGCACUAGUUAGCCUUGCAAAUUGUGUGAAUGUGUUUAUGGUGGGAUAGUGCAUGCUCUAUUUUAAAAAAUGAAAUACAAGCACUAAUAAGAUUUUAUGAAUGAAAUAGUUCUGUUAUGAACUACUCACCUUUAACUUUUGUUAGUCUAGUAUUUAAUUAAACUUCAAGCUGAAGAUCUGUGUUAAAAAUAUUUUGUACUAAUUCAGUCAAAUUGCCAAAGCUUCAGUGGUAUGUGAACUACAAGUUCAGAGAACCACUUUGUAUUAAAGUAAUAGAUCUAAGUGAGAGAGCUUAAAAUUAGCAAUGAAGGAAGGUCAUAUUGUUGGAAUGUACAAUAGGAAGUUAGACAAGGAUGGUAGGCUGCCUGAAACCUAAAUAAAUCUCUUGGGAAAGAAUCAGAAGACCUUGAUUGCCUAAACAAAGCUAAAAGCUAGUUGCUAGUUUCCAGCAGAAACUCAUGCAGAAGUUUCCUAUGUAAAGCAAUUUCCUAUUAAAUUGAUUUAAAUAGCUCAUAAGUGGAAUAUAAAUAACAUAGCACAUCCACCUAAUACCAUGUUGCUGAAACCAUGAAUGGCUGUGUAUCAUGAGUUCAUAAUUUACGUAACAGUAAUGCUGUUGUAUACAGAACACUACCACAUUGACGCCUGGGUUGUUUGAAGUUGAUAACCAGGUCACAACUUUAUUAUA